rnacentral:lncRNA from 1 species
GUGAUUUUGCUCAAGAAAGAAUGUGAAUGAAACACAGGGCCGGGCCGGGGUCAGGACCUGAGCCCUUGCUCCUGGGUGAGCUGCCCAUCCCCCAGCUCCCCCACAUGGCUCCGUUAUCACUGACUCUUUGUCACAUGUCCAGGGAAGCCUGGAACCAGACCUUUUGACUCUGAAAUCCAAGUUCUUUCUUCUAGAGCUCUCAGAAAGAUUAGAAUUUUCAAAGCAUUUUGUUAUCUCCUUUGGUUCCCACAACAACUAAAACAAAGUGGGUACUAUUAUUAUUCCCCCUUUACAGAUUAAGUUCAGCAGGCUUGAAUAAUUUGCUGAAGGUCACCCAACUGAUAAGCCAUUGGGGGGUGGUGGUGGUGGCUAGAAAUCAAGAUCUUGAUUCCAAAUAAUUUUUUUCUUUUUUUCUAAAAAAUAUUUUUAUUUGUAUAUUUUUAUUGUUUGAUAGGCAGAGAGGUGCACAAAGAGUAAGAGAGAGAGAGAGCGCUCUUCUAUCUGCUAAUUCACUCCCCCAAAUGCCCACGAUAGCUGGGGAUGAGCAGGCUGAAGCCAGGAGCCUGGAACUCAAUCCAGCCGGAACCCAGGUACUUGAGCCAUCAUCUGCUACCACCUGAGUGCACGUUAGCAGGAAGCUGGAGUCUGAAGUGGAGCCAGGAGUCAAACGUAGGCCCUCCCUUGUGGGACUGAGCAGCAUCGUACAGGAGAGACAGAAGGGAAGAUGGUCUGAGACUGACCACAAAGGGGAAGAAAGGUGACCUUGAAGAAGGCCGCUUCCUUCCAAGGGCUCAUCCUCCUGCCUGGUAGGCAGUCCAGCUCUCAGCCCUAUCAACUGUUUUCAUCUCAACGUGAUUUUACGCCCGUAGCUUGGACCUGGUGCUUUGCACUUCGAGACGCAGUACCUGGAGAGUGUUUAUGCCUCACUAACAUUUCCAAACUACACCAUCAAAAAAAUAAGUCGAGGAAAAACAGUUUAGCUUGGUUUAGCAUCUGCCGCUUUCUAAAGAGGACAAGGGACUUCUUUCCACCCCGGCACGGCCCUUUGAGCGGGGCGGUGCUGCUCUCCACAUUUUAUGGCUGAGGCAAGUGAGGCGCUGGAGAGUUAAAAAACGUACCCAAGGUGACGUGCCGGGUUUACGUGAGUAACAGGACGCAAACAGAACGCAGCUGGGGAGCCAGGCACAGCCGGACAGCAAGGCAAAGGAUCCCCACUUCCUGCAACCUGAGAAAUGGGAGACAGUGCCCCCUGGCCAGAAGACGCAGCCCUUGCGCUUCCUCUCCUUUCU